UACGUAGGGGGCUAGCGUUGUCCGGAUUUAUUGGGCGUAAAGAGCGUGUAGGCGGCCAGGUAGGUCUGCUGUGAAAACUCGAGGCUCAACCUCGAGACGUCGGCGGAAACCAUCUGGCUAGAGUCCGGAAGAGGAGAGUGGAAUUCCUGGUGUAGCGGUGAAAUGCGCAGAUAUCAGGAAGAACACCAGUGGCGAAGGCGGCUCACUGGCCCGGUACUGACGCUGAUGUGCGAAAGCGUGGGGAGCAAACAGG
rnacentral:rRNA from 1 species